rnacentral:rRNA from 1 species
UACGUAGGGUGCAAGCGUUGUCCGGAAUUAUUGGGCGUAAAGAGCUCGUAGGCGGUCUGUCACGUCGGCUGUGAAAACCCGGGGCUCAACCCCGGGCCUGCAGUCGGUACGGGCAGACUAGAGUGCGGUAGGGGAGACUGGAAUUCCUGGUGUAGCGGUGAAAUGCGCAGAUAUCAGGAGGAACACCGGUGGCGAAGGCGGGUCUCUGGGCCGUAACUGACGCUGAGGAGCGAAAGCGUGGGGAGCGAACAGG